UACGGAGGAUCCAAGCGUUAUCCGGAAUCAUUGGGUUUAAAGGGUCCGUAGGCGGUUUGGUAAGUCAGUGGUGAAAGCCCAUCGCUCAACGGUGGAACGGCCAUUGAUACUGCCAGACUUGAAUUAUUAGGAAGUAACUAGAAUAUGUAGUGUAGCGGUGAAAUGCUUAGAGAUUACAUGGAAUACCAAUUGCGAAGGCAGGUUACUACUGGUUGAUUGACGCUGAUGGACGAAAGCGUGGGUAGCGAACAGG
rnacentral:rRNA from 1 species